rnacentral:rRNA from 1 species
GGCGAGUGGCGAACGGGUGAGUAAUACAUCGGAACGUGUCCUGGAGUGGGGGAUAGCCCGGCGAAAGCCGGAUUAAUACCGCAUACGCUCUGUGGAGGAAAGCGGGGGAUCUUUCGGGACCUCGCGCUCAAGGGGCGGCCGAUGGCAGAUUAGGUAGUUGGUGGGGUAAAGGCCUACCAAGCCGACGAUCUGUAGCUGGUCUGAGAGGACGACCAGCCACACUGGGACUGAGACACGGCCCAGACUCCUACGGGAGGCAGCAGUGGGGAAUUUUGGACAAUGGGCGCAAGCCUGAUCCAGCAAUGCCGCGUGUGUGAAGAAGGCCUUCGGGUUGUAAAGCACUUUUGUCCGGAAAGAAAACCUCUGGGUUAAUACCCCGGGGGGAUGACGGUACCGGAAGAAUAAGCACCGGCUAACUACGUGCCAGCAGCCGCGGUAAUACGUAGGGUGCGAGCGUUAAUCGGAAUUACUGGGCGUAAAGCGUGCGCAGGCGGUGAUGUAAGACCGAUGUGAAAUCCCCGGGCUUAACCUGGGAACUGCAUUGGUGACUGCAUCGCUCGAGUAUGGCAGAGGGGGGUAGAAUCCACGUGUAGCAGUGAAAUGCGUAGAGAUGUGGAGGAAUACCGAUGGCGAAGGCAGCC